GGGGGGGUGGCGCAGUUGGAGUGCAUUGCGCCUGGAAAACCUGCUAAGGCCCGGCAGGUCGUCGGUUCGGAUCCGGCUCCCUCCA